GACGAACGCUGGCGGCGUGCUUAAUACAUGCAAGUCGAACGGAAAGGCCCUGCUUUUGUGGGGUGCUCGAGUGGCGAACGGGUGAGUAACACGUGAGUAUCCUGCCCUUGACUUUGGGAUAACUUCUGGAAAAUGGGGAUAAUACCGGGUAGGAGCUCCUGCUGCACGGUGGGGGUUGGAAAGUUACGGCGGUUUGGGAUGGACUAGCGGCUUAUCAGCUUGUUGGUGAGGUAGUGGCUUACCAAGGCUUUGACGGGUAGCCGGCCUGGGAGGGUGACCGGGGACCAUGGGACUGAGAUACGGCGCAGUCGGCAACGGGAGGCAGCAGGGGGAAAUAUUGCACAAUGAGCGCGAGCCAGUGACAGCAAUGUCGGGUUCGGGAAGACGUCUUUCGAGGUAUAAACCGCUGUCGCAGGUAACGAACAGGUAUUGACGGUAAUGGGUAAAGAAGCACCGGCUAACUACGUG
rnacentral:rRNA from 1 species